rfam:Lupinus angustifolius cultivar Tanjil contig_17015, whole genome shotgun sequence.
GGGGAGCAUCCAGAUGCCGGGAUGUUGCCUGAUACAAUCUUCCUACAUAAAAAACUGUCGUUUCCUGCUUGUAGUACUUGAGCAAGUCCUGCAAGUCUCAUAUAUACAGUGACAAGU